GCCUGGGUGGCUUAAUUGGUUAAGUGUCUGACUUUGGCUCAGGUCAUGAUCUCACAGCUCGUGGGUCCAAGCCCCGCAUCGGGCU
rnacentral:tRNA from 1 species